rnacentral:rRNA from 1 species
GACGAACGCUGGCGGCGUGCCUAAUACAUGCAAGUAGAACGCUGAAGGAGGAGCUUGCUUCUCUGGAUGAGUUGCGAACGGGUGAGUAACGCGUAGGUAACCUGCCUGGUAGCGGGGGAUAACUAUUGGAAACGAUAGCUAAUACCGCAUAAGAGUGGAUGUUGCAUGACAUUUGCUUAAAAGGUGCACUUGCAUCACUACCAGAUGGACCUGCGUUGUAUUAGCUAGUUGGUGGGGUAACGGCUCACCAAGGCGACGAUACAUAGUCGACCUGAGAGGGUGAUCGGCCACACUGGGACUGAGACACGGCCCAGACUCCUACGGGAGGCAGCAGUAGGGAAUCUUCGGCAAUGGACGGAAGUCUGACCGAGCAACGCCGCGUGAGUGAAGAAGGUUUUCGGAUCGUAAAGCUCUGUUGUAAGAGAAGAACGAGUGUGAGAGUGGAAAGUUCACACUGUGACGGUAUCUUACCAGAAAGGGACGGCUAACUACGUGCCAGCAGCCGCGGUAAUACGUAGGUCCCGAGCGUUGUCCGGAUUUAUUGGGCGUAAAGCGAGCGCAGGCGGUUAGAUAAGUCUGAAGUUAAAGGCUGUGGCUUAACCAUAGUAGGCUUUGGAAACUGUUUAACUUGAGUGCAAGAGGGGAGAGUGGAAUUCCAUGUGUAGCGGUGAAAUGCGUAGAUAUAUGGAGGAACACCGGUGGCGAAAGCGGCUCUCUGGCUUGUAACUGACGCUGAGGCUCGAAAGCGUGGGGAGCAAACAGG